AUUGAACGCUGGCGGCAGGCCUAACACAUGCAAGUCGAGCGGAGCGGCGGACGGGUGCGUAAUGCCUAGGUAUCUGCCAGUGCGUGGGGGAUAACGUCAGGAAACGGGCGCUAUUACCGAUAACUCUCAGCUGAGCCUAGGUGGGAUUAGCUAGUUGGUGGGGUAAAGGCCUACCAAGGCGACGAUCCGUAACUGGUCUGAGAGGAUGAUCAGUCACACUGGAACUGAGACACGGUCCAGACUCCUACGGGAGGCAGCAGUGGGGAAUAUUGGACAAUGGGCGAAAGCCUGAUCCAGCCAUGCCGCGUGUGUGAAGAAGGUCUUCGGAUUGUAAAGCACUUUAAGUUGGGAGGCGUUACCAACAGAAUAAGCACCGGCUAACUCCGUGCCAGCAGCCGCGGUAAUUC
rnacentral:rRNA from 1 species